GAUGAACGCUGGCGGCGUGCCUAAUACAUGCAAGUCGAGCGAACAGACGAGGAGCUUGCUCCUCUGACGUUAGCGGCGGACGGGUGAGUAACACGUGGAUAACCUACCUAUAAGACUGGGAUAACUUCGGGAAACCGGAGCUAAUACCGGAUAAUAUAUUGAACCGCAUGGUUCAAUAGUGAAAGACGGUUUUGCUGUCACUUAUAGAUGGAUCCGCGCCGCAUUAGCUAGUUGGUAAGGUAACGGCUUACCAAGGCAACGAUGCGUAGCCGACCUGAGAGGGUGAUCGGCCGAACUGGAGCUGAGACACGGUCCAGACUCCUACGGGAGGCAGCAGUAGGGAAUCUUCCGCAAUGGGCGAAAGCCUGACGGAGCAACGCCGCGUGAGUGAUGAAGGUCUUCGGAUCGUAAAACUCUGUUAUUAGGGAAGAACAAAUGUGUAAGUAACUAUGCACGUCUUGACGGUACCUAAUCAGAAAGCCACGGCUAACUACGUG
rnacentral:rRNA from 1 species